rnacentral:rRNA from 1 species
CGAACGCUGGCGGCGUGCCUAAUACAUGCAAGUAGAACGCUGAAGGGAGAGCUUGCUCUUCUGGAUGAGUUGCGAACGGGUGAGUAACGCGUAGGUAACCUGCCUGGUAGCGGGGGAUAACUAUUGGAAACGAUAGCUAAUACCGCAUAACAUUGACUAUUGCAUGAUAGUCAAUUAAAAGGUGCAAAUGCACCACUACCAGAUGGACCUGCGUUGUAUUAGCUAGUUGGUGGGGUAACGGCUCACCAAGGCGACGAUACAUAGCCGACCUGAGAGGGUGAUCGGCCACACUGGGACUGAGACACGGCCCAGACUCCUACGGGAGGCAGCAGUAGGGAAUCUUCGGCAAUGGACGGAAGUCUGACCGAGCAACGCCGCGUGAGUGAAGAAGGUUUUCGGAUCGUAAAGCUCUGUUGUAAGAGAAGAACGAGUGUGAGAGUGGAAAGUUCAG